GCUAUAAUAUCUACAUUAUUUCCUCUGGUGUGGUCAGAAAACCUCUUAGGGAUUUCAGAGAGGUAUAAUGUGUUGAUCUAACGUGUUAGACAGAUAUCGGAAUAAAUCGCAGAAGUCAAAAUUGCAAAAAGUUUCCCAGAUUACCCAAAUUCACCCUAACUGUAUCAUUCAUCCACUCGUCAAACGCCUGCCCGUCUGCCUGCCUCUCUGCCUGCCUGUCUGCCUGCCUCUCUGCCUGCCCGUCUGCCUGCCUGUCUGUCUGCCUGCCUGUCUGCCUGCCUCUCUGCCUGCCUGCCUGCCUGUCUGCCUGCCUCUCUGCCUGCCUGCCUGCCUGUCCGUCAUCUAUUUAUCUGUUCAUCUGUCUAAAAUAUAAGUGCAAGUAUUAUUUCACAAAAUGGAGGACUUAUUUUAGAUGGAUGGUUACAGUAGAUAGAUGAUAGAGGUACUUUAAAACUUUGCUAAUCCUUUUUUUUUACUUACACAAUCCCAUCAACAACUAAGACUUGCGUUUCGAUGUGUGUGGUUGAUUUAAAGAGUACGUAUCUCAUUAUUUAAACCUCCCAUGUUUAGAUUUGAACACACAUUGUAGCCUUCUUAUCGCUUACUUUCAUUGCAUUUCGUCCUUUCUUCACCACCCAUCAAACACUCUUAAUGACACACCUUCCCGACAAUCAGUCAUCUAUUCAUCUAUCCAACAGAUAAGUGCAAUCAUUAGUUCAGAAAAGAGAGGAAAUGUUUUAGAUAUUCUUCAAGAUAGAUGGAAAGAUACAGUACGUGAGUAGAUUAUAUUUUGUUUGAAACUUUCCUCAACCCCUUAAUGACAACACAACAAAAAGGCAUGAUUUUGAAUAUUAAUGGUUAAUAUGUCGAGUUCAGCCUUCCUUAAAAAAUACCAUAGCCAUGCUUUUGUGUUUGAGCUCAUUGGGCCUCAUUCGCCAACAUCUUCCUACGUUUUUGUCUUACAUUUGUUCUUGAAAAAGGUCCUAAGAAAAGUCCACAACAGAUUAAUGACGUGUUCUUGAAUUCUGGAACCUCAGUUUCCUCAGGAAAGUCCUGAGCUUGGACCACAGGCUACGAUUCCUCGAUGACGGACUAGAAAGGAGGAAUGGAGCAGAAAGAAAAUGACAAUGUUUUAAUAAUUUAACCAACUCUUGAAUGGCCUCUUAUCCUCAGCAUCCAAACAAUAAGAAAGCACAUACAAUCAUAGUAAGUAAAAAACAGACUUCACUUUAAAUGAUAAUUAGAAAACAGCUAAGGUGAUUCUGACAGUGUGAGAAAGAGAGACAAUUCAAAUAACAUGAAAAUAGAGAACAUAGACAGAUAGAAAGAGGCAAGUCUAUUGCACAGAAAUGAAGAAGCCAAAGGUCAGAAAGACAGCAGCCUUUAAAGGUAGAAACAGAAAGGUUUGUAAAGCAUCUAAUUAGCAGCUACCCAUUCAUACAUCUCUUCAGAAAGUACUCACCAUACACACUGGGUAGAGGUCUGUGUCUGUUUGUUUUCUGUCAUCCACAAGUUCUCCUCCUUCUCCUUCUGCUCCUCCUCCUCUUGUCUUUCUGUUAUCCUGUCCCAGAUGUCUGUGUUUACCCACAGGGAUCCAGCGAUGGGGAGACUGGCCCUGGUACAUGUGAUCCAGCGACACAGUGGGCAGCACACCAUCAGCAGGCCACUCUGGAGCCUGGAUAACGCCUGGAGACACUGCCCACAGAAGGUGUGCUUGCAGUGGAGCAUUUGAGGGAUCUUGUCCCUGCGUGAGUAGGACUGGAGGCAGACGCAGCACUCCAUGUCUUCACUCGUUAGUCCCAUGUCUGGUUGGCUGGGGUGUGGAUGGUCACAAGAUGGACA
ensembl:lncRNA